rfam:Gossypium hirsutum cultivar TM-1 unplaced genomic scaffold scaffold336.1, whole genome shotgun sequence
UGUUAAAAUUCCAUCCAUUUGUACUGUUAAAAACUGACAUGGCUAACAGAAUAAUCGGACAAUAACAUGUUCGUGUCAUGUGUAGCUCAUGUUGAUGUGCAGGGACAAGUUUUUAACGGGAGGAAUGAAUGAAAUUUUUAAUA